rnacentral:sRNA from 1 species
GGCGGGCUGGACCUCUCGGGGUUACAGCCUUGCUGAAUUAUUCACCCUUGUCUUUUGCGUACUUCUUGUUUCCUUGGUGGGUUCGCCCACCACUAGGACAAACAUAAACCUUUUGUAAUUGCAAUCAGCGUCAGUAACAAAUUAAUAAUUACAACUUUCAACAACGGAUCUCUUGGUUCUGGCAUCGAUGAAGAACGCAGCGAAAUGCGAUAAGUAGUGUGAAUUGCAGAAUUCAGUGAAUCAUCGAAUCUUUGAACGCACAUUGCGCCCUUUGGUAUUCCAAAGGGCAUGCCUGUUCGAGCGUCAUUUGUACCCUCAAGCUUUGCUUGGUGUUGGGCGUCUUGUCUCUAGCUUUGCUGGAGACUCGCCUUAAAGUAAUUGGCAGCCGGCCUACUGGUUUCGGAGCGCAGCACAAGUCGCACUCUCUAUCAGCAAAGGUCUAGCAUCCAUUAAGCCUUUUUUUCAACUUUUGACCUCGGAUCAGGUAGGGAUACCCGCUGAACUUAAGCAUAUCAAUAAGCGGAGGA